GGGAGAAUCCUGAAUUCGAAAGGGGCCGGAUUCAAGUCCUACCGCGUGUUUGCAGGUCGUCACUGCAAGAUGCUGCUGGUCGCCCGCGGCGGUUCAUUCCGCUUGCGGUGUCGUUCCUGGCGUGCACUCGGCAGGGGGCUGCACCUGGCACCGGAGGGCCGCACUUCCUCCCUAGUAGAAACGUCGGGACCCGUUGGGUGUCGGUCUAAGGCUCGGGAUGGCAGACCGCGUGUCCUGCGGGGGAUCCCGCAGGCGUGCGGACUCCUGGUGACCCGACCGACUGCCCGACGGUAUAACCAGAGGGGUCGAUCCGCUGAAUGGGAAACACUUUGGUUUGUGAAGCGUCCGGCCCAACGCUGAUGCGUGCAGAGAAUGGUGAAAACCGGGGGCUCCCUUGCGGUGCAUGGUCCCGGCUCUGCUGCGUCUUCGGGGUUUGGUGUCCUCGGACCGGAUCAGCACCCCCGUCCCCGACGACCACCUUCGGAUGGUCUCCCG
rnacentral:rRNA from 1 species